AACGAACGCUGGCGGCAUGCCUAACACAUGCAAGUCGAACGAGACCUUCGGGUCUAGUGGCGCACGGGUGCGUAACGCGUGGGAACCUGCCCUUAGGUUCGGAAUAACUCCCCGAAAGGGGUGCUAAUACCGGAUAAUGUCUUUGGACCAAAGAUUUAUCGCCUUUGGAUGGGCCCGCGUUGGAUUAGCUAGUUGGUAGGGUAAAAGCCUACCAAGGCGACGAUCCAUAGCUGGUCUGAGAGGAUGAUCAGCCACACUGGGACUGAGACACGGCCCAGACUCCUACGGGAGGCAGCAGUGGGGAAUAUUGGACAAUGGGCGAAAGCCUGAUCCAGCAAUGCCGCGUGAGUGAUGAAGGCCUUAGGGUUGUAAAGCUCUUUUACCCGGGAUGAUAAUGACAGUACCGGGAGAAUAAGCGCCGGCUAACUCCGUG
rnacentral:rRNA from 1 species